rnacentral:rRNA from 1 species
CCUACGGGUGGCAGCAGUGGGGAAUAUUGCACAAUGGGGGAAACCCUGAUGCAGCAACGCCGCGUGAGUGAAGAAGUAUUUCGGUAUGUAAAGCCCUAUUAGCAGGGAAGAAGAUGACGGUAUCUGAAUAAGAAGCCCCGGCUAACUACGUGCCAGCAGCCGCGGUAAUACGUAGGGGGCAAGCGUUAUUCGGAUUUACUGGGAGUAAAGGGAGCGCAGGCGGCAGAGCAAGUCUGGAGUGAAAGCCCAGGGCCCAACCCCAGAACUGCUCUGGAAACUGUGCGGCUAGAGUACUGGAGGGGCAGGCGGAAUUCCUGGUGUAGCGGUGAAAUGCGUAGAUAUUAGGAGGAACACCAGUGGCGAAGGCGGCCUGCUGGACAGUAACUGACGUUGAGGCGCGAAAGCGUGGGGAGCAAACAGGAUUAGAUACCCUUGUAGUC